AGGGUUGAGGGCUGCAGUAGCUCGCAAGAACUCAUCUCACUUUGUCUUUUUCAAAUACGGUAAAGUCAUAUAAAGACAGUAGUUAAGCUAGUCAAAUUUUGCGAUGUAACGGCAAGGCUGUCCAUUUUCAUGCUUGCUGCUGUAAUAUUUUCCAAAUCUUUCAACCUUUCCCAGACGUCUGCACAAACACUCCGCCUUAAAUCUGUAUAAAUCUACCAGAUUAUAUUCGUUUUUGUAUUGAGUUCGAUGAGAUUCCAACUCACUUGCUACGGCAAAUUAUAAAGAUUUAUGUAUUUUCAACACAAUUUGUAGAUUUAAACAAAAACUGCGUUUCUUUUAGAGGCGGGGAGUAAUUCUAAUUUAAUUAUAAUAUCAUUAAAAUAUUUCGGCUGAUAAAUAGAGACCGAAACUGGCAACUUUGCAGCCCAAGAUGAUAUAAGAGUUCAGUUGACGCUAAAUACUGAUGAGGCAACUACGUUAUGAGAUACUAAGUUCAACAUCGGGGUAUCGCUUACCACCGUAUCGGUGUACAACAUAACAAAGGGUAGCUGCUUUAAAACUGAUUUAAAAAAGUAAAUUAGAAGCAUCUUACCGGCGGGGAAGAGCGACAGAAACACGGCGAGGACUCUGCACACGUCAAGCGCCGACGGUCUUCCUCUUUUCCCCAUAACCAUCCAUCCAGCUCGGGCUCGCACUUCACUCCUCUCCCUGGUCAAACCGGAUUAAGGCAGGAUAAAGAAGAGUUAGAGCCACCGAGUCCUCGUUGACAAAACACAGAAAGUCCAUAAAAGAGGCCUGGAGUGGGUCGCGUCUUCUCAUCACUGUGUUAUCUGGUGACGCCUUUUGACUGCAGAACAUUCAGAUGAAGACUGAGAGAUUCAGAUGGAUUACCUGAUGUUACAAUCUUCCACAGCGAAUUUCUUUCUGCCUCAAUUCAGUUAGUUUGUUCCUCCAACUGUAAAUCUGACCACACGGCGGCGGCAGGGCAGCAUCACAUCUGAUGAUUACAAUCCAGAAAAUCGAUCUCCUCCACAUCGGAGCAGCUCCAACUGAAACGCGCAGAGCAGCGAGCAAUGAAAGCACAUCAAACACACGUGGAGCCAACAGUGUGCUACAUGUACAGUGUGACGUCAGCAUGCAACCACUACACACACACACACACACACACAUUGUGUUGUUUGGCAUCUUUCUGGUCAUGCUGUGAAAGUAUAUAUAGUAUAUAUAGAUGUAUAUAUACUGUACACUCACAAUUGUUCUGAUAAGUUACUGCAUAUAUAACACACAUAGACACAUAUGUAUAGACAUGACCAAAAACUGUUUUAUCUGUUGUUUUUAGCUGUGCUAGUAGCAUAACUGCUAUGUCUCAUCAUCACCAAACUUUAAUUUGUUCAAUGCUUUCUGAGCAAAUAUCUGCCAAAAUGACCUUCUGUUGCCGUAGUUAGCAAAUAUUAGCAUGCUAAGACACUUAACACAGACAGAGAACAUAGUGAACUGUUCAUAUUGCUAAAUAUUAAAGUCUGCAGGCUAUAAAGCAUGUUAGCAUAAUGAUAUUAGCAUUAGCUUAAAGCUCUGCUGUGCCCCAGUAAAGUCUUGAAGAGCCGCUAGCUUGAAGAGCUUGUUAUGCUAAAU